AACGAACGCUGGCGGCGUGGAUAAGACAUGCAAGUCGAGCGGAGUAUAUUGGGUAGCAAUACUUGGUAUAUUCAGCGGCGCAAGGGUGCGUAACACGUGGGUAAUUUGCCAUGAAGUUUGGAAUAACUUGCUGAAAGGCGAGCUAAUACCGGAUGUGAAAAUUGAUGGGCAUCUAUUGAUUUUCAAAGUUGGGGACCGCAAGGCCUGACGCUUUAUGAUAAGCCCGCGGCCUAUCAGCUAGUUGGUGAGGUAACGGCUCACCAAGGCUAAGACGGGUAGCUGGUCUGAGAGGACGACCAGCCACACUGGAACUGAGACACGGUCCAGACACCUACGGGUGGCAGCAGUCGAGAAUUUUUCACAAUGGGCGAAAGCCUGAUGGAGCGACGCCGCGU
rnacentral:rRNA from 1 species